rnacentral:rRNA from 1 species
UACAGAGGUCCCAAGCGUUGUUCGGAUUCAUUGGGCGUAAAGGGUGUGUAGGUGGCGCCGUAAGUCGGGUGUGAAAUCUCGGAGCUUAACUCCGAAACUGCAUUCGAUACUGCCGUGCUUGAGGACUGGAGAGGAGACUGGAAUUUACGGUGUAGCGGUGAAAUGCGUAGAUAUCGUAAGGAAGACCGGUGGCGAAGGCGGGUCUCUGGACAGUUCCUGACGCUGAGGCACGAAGGUCAGGGGAGCAAACGGG